AGUAUGGAGCCUCGGGAAGUUAUUGCAUAGCGCUGUUCGCCAAUUCUCCAUUCCCCAUUUUUUUUCAGAGCCCCAUGAAUGUUAUUGCCUAGCGCUGUUCAUGCAUCCUCCACCUUCGAGUCUGGAGCCCCGCGAAGUUAUUGCGUAGCGCAUUUCGCCAAUUCUCCAUUCUCCACUUUUUUCGGAGCCCCAUGAAUAUUAUUGCCUAGCGCUGUUCAUGCAUCCUCCACCAACGAGUCAGGAGCC
rnacentral:misc_RNA from 1 species